GUGUCAGCCGCCGCGGUAAUACGGGGGGGGCAAGCGUUGUUCGGAAUUACUGGGCGUAAAGGGCUCGUAGGUGGCCAACUAAGUCAGACGUGAAAUCCCCAGGCUCAACUUGGGAACUGCGUCUGAUACUGGAUGGCUUGAAUUCGGGAGAGGGAUGCAGAAUUCCAGGUGUAGCGGUGAAAUGCGUAGAUAUCUGGAGGAAUACCGGUGGCGAAGGCGGCAUCCUGGACCGAUAUUGACACUGAGGAGCGAAAGCCAGGGGAGCAAACGGGAUUAGAUACCCUAGUAGUCC
rnacentral:rRNA from 1 species